rnacentral:rRNA from 1 species
UACGUAGGGGGCAAGCGUUGUCCGGAUUUAUUGGGCGUAAAGCGCUCGCAGGCGGCUUGCUACGUCGUGCGUGAAACACCCCGGCUCAACUGGGGAGGGUCACGCGAUACUGAUCGACUCGAAGGCAGGAGAGGGUAGUGGAAUUCCCGGUGUAGUGGUGAAAUGCGUAGAUAUCGGGAGGAACACCAGUGGCGAAGGCGACUACCUGGCCUGUUUCUUGACGCUGAGGCGCGAAAGCUAGGAGAGCAAACGGG